rnacentral:rRNA from 1 species
UACAGAGGUCUCAAGCGUUGUUCGGAUUCACUGGGCGUAAAGGGUGCGUAGGCGGUCGGGUAAGUCUGAUGUGAAAUCUCACAGCUUAACUGUGAAACUGCAUUGGAUACUAUCCGGCUAGAGGAAUGGAGGGGAGACUGGAAUACUUGGUGUAGCAGUGAAAUGCGUAGAUAUCAAGCGGAACACCAGUGGCGAAGGCGAGUCUCUGGACAUUUCCUGACGCUGAGGCACGAAGGCCAGGGGAGCAAACGGG